UACGUAGGGUGCAAGCGUUGUCCGGAAUUAUUGGGCGUAAAGAGCUCGUAGGCGGUCUGUCGCGUCGGAUGUGAAAACCUGGGGCUCAACCCCGGGCCUGCAGCCGAUACGGGCAAGCUAGAAUUCGGUAGGGGAGACUGGAAUUCCUGGUGUAGCGGUGAAAUGCGCAGAUAUCAGGAGGAACACCGGUGGCGAAGGCGGGUCUCUGGGCCGAAAUUGACGCUGAGGAGCGAAAGCGUGGGGAGCAAACAGG
rnacentral:rRNA from 1 species